GGCGAGUGAAGCGGCAAAAGCUCAAAUUUGAAAUCUGGCGCCUUCGGUGUCCGAGUUGUAAUUUGAAGAUUGUAACCUUGGGGUUGGCUCUUGUCUAUGUUUCUUGGAACAGGACGUCACAGAGGGUGAGAAUCCCGUGCGAUGAGAUGCCCAAUUCUAUGUAAGGUGCUUUCGAAGAGUCGAGUUGUUUGGGAAUGCAGCUCUAAGUGGGUGGUAAAUUCCAUCUAAAGCUAAAUAUUGGCGAGAGACCGAUAGCGAACAAGUACAGUGAUGGAAAGAUGAAAAGAACUUUGAAAAGAGAGUGAAAAAGUACGUGAAAUUGUUGAAAGGGAAGGGUUUGAGAUCAGACUCGAUAUUUUGUGAGCCUUGCCUUCGUGGCGGGGUGACCCGCAGCUUAUCGGGCCAGCAUCGGUUUGGGCGGUAGGAUAAUGGCGUAGGAAUGUGACUUUACUUCGGUGAAGUGUUAUAGCCUGCGUUGAUGCUGCCUGCCUAGACCGAGGACUGCGAUUUUAUCAAGGAUGCUGGCAUAAUGAUCCCAAACCGCCCGUCUUGAAACACGGACA
rnacentral:rRNA from 1 species